CCUACGGGUGGCAGCCGUGAGGAAUAUUGGUCAAUGGGCGCGAGCCUGAACCAGCCAAGUCGCGUGAGGGAAGACGGUCCUAUGGAUUGUAAACCUCUUUUGUCGGGGAGCAAAAGACGCCACGCGUGGCGUUCCGAGAGUACCCGAAGAAAAAGCAUCGGCUAACACCGUGCCAGCAGCCGCGGUAAUACGGAGGAUGCGAGCGUUAUCCGGAUUUAUUGGGUGAAAAGGGUGCGCAGGCGGAGGAGAAAGUCAGCGGUAAAAUGGGGAGGCUCAACCUCGUCGAGCUGUUGAAACUGGGCUGCUUGAGUGCGUGAGAGGUAUGCGGAAUGCGUGGUGUAGCGGUGAAAUGCAUAGAUAUUACGCAGAACUCCGAUUGCGAAGGCAGCAUACCGGCGCUUAACUGACGCUCAUGCACGAAAGUGUGGGUAUCGAACAGGAUUAGAUACCCGGGUAGUC
rnacentral:rRNA from 1 species